rnacentral:rRNA from 1 species
GAUUAAUAAUUAUUUAUUAAUUGUUUUUUUUUAUUUAUAUAAAUUAUUAAAAAUAUUUAUAAAUUUUAUAGUUUUAGUAUUUAAAAAGAAAAAAUAAUAUUAAUUAUAGUUUAAUAGUAUUGUUAAAUAAAAUUGAAAUAAUUUGAAAAAUUUUUAUUUUAAAAGAAAAUUUAAUUUAUUGUACCUUGUGUAUCAGGGUUUAUUAAAUUAAAAUUAUAUAAGUUAAUUUUCUCGAUUUUAAAAGAGUUAAUAUAUUAUAAAAUUUAUUGUAAUAAAAUUAUUUUAAAUAAUAUAUUAGAAAUGAAAUGUUAUUCGUUUUUAAAGGUAUCUAGUUUUUUAAGAAAUAAAUUUAAUUUAUAAAUUUUAUAUUAUUUAAUUUAAUAUAUUAAUUAAAUAAUUAUUUAAUUUUAAUAUUUUAUGGGAUAAGCUAUAAAAUAAAUUUUUAUAAAUUAUUAAAUAAAUUGAUAAAUAUAAACUUAGAAAUAGUUAUUGUUAAUAAAAAUGUUAUAAUUUAUUUUUUUUAUUAUAUUAUUUAUUUAUAUUUUAAAAUUUUUAUUAAAAUAUUUAUUUUAAUAUUAAAAAUAAAAUAAUAAUGAUAAAAUUAGUAUAUUUAUAUUGUAUAAAUAAAUAUAAUUGAUAAGUUUUUAUAAAGAACUCGGCAAAAAUAAUAUUCGCCUGUUUAACAAAAACAUGUCUUUAUGAAUUAUAUUUAAAGUCUAACCUGCCCACUGAAUUAAAUUUAAAUGGCCGCAGUAUUUUGACUGUGCAAAGGUAGCAUAAUAAUUAGUCUUUUAAUUGAAGGCUAGAAUGAAUGGUUGGACGAAAUAUUAACUGUUUCAUAAAAAUUUUUAUUUGAAUUUUAUUUUUUAGUUAAAAAGCUAAAAUUUAUUUAAAAGACGAGAAGACCCUAUAAAUCUUUAUAUUUAAAUUAUUAUAAUUUUUUAGAAAUAUUUUAUUAUUAUAAUUAAUAAUAUUUUAUUGGGGUGAUAUUAAAAUUUAAUAAACUUUUAAUUUAUAUUUUACAUUAAUUUAUGAAUAAAUGAUCCGUUAUUAACGAUUAAAAAAAUAAGUUACUUUAGGGAUAACAGCGUAAUUUUUUUGGAGAGUUCAUAUCGAUAAAAAAGAUUGCGACCUCGAUGUUGGAUUAAGAUAUAAUUUUAGGUGUAGCCGCUUAAAUUUUAAGUCUGUUCGACUUUUAAAUUCUUACAUGAUCUGAGUUCAAACCGGUGUAAGCCAGGUUGGUUUCUAUCUUUAAAUUAUUAAAAUAUUUUAGUACGAAAGGACCUAAUAUUUGAUAAAUUAUUAUUUAUAAAUUGAAUAUAAUUAAUAUAUAAUAA